rnacentral:rRNA from 1 species
CGCCUGGGGAGUACGGCCGCAAGGUUAAAACUCAAAUGAAUUGACGGGGGCCCGCACAAGCGGUGGAGCAUGUGGUUUAAUUCGACGCAACGCGAAAAACCUUACCUGGCCUUGACAUCCAGAGAGCUUUCCAGAGAUGGAUUGGUGCCUUCGGGAACUCUGAGACAGGUGCUGUAUGGCCGUCGUCAGCUCGUGUCGUGAGAUGUUGGGUUAAGUCCCGUAACGAGCGCAACCCCUAUCCCUGGUUGCUAGCAGGUAAUGCUGAGAACUCCAGGGAGACUGCCGGUGACAAACCGGAGGAAGGUGGGGAUGACGUCAGGUCAUCAUGGCCCUUACGGCCAGGGCUACACACGUGCUACAAUGGCGCGUACAGAGGGCUGCCAACUCGCGAGAGUGAGCCAAUCCCUUAAAACGCGUCGUAGUCCGGAUCGGAGUCUGCAACUCGACUCCGUGAAGUCGGAAUCGCUAGUAAUCGCGAAUCAGAAUGUCGCGGUGAAUACGUUCCCGGGCCUUGUACACACCGCCCGUCACACCAUGGGAGUGGAUUGCACCAGAAGUAGUUAGUCUAACCUUCGGGAGGACGAUUACCACGGUGUGGUUCAUGACUGGGGUGAAGUCGUAACAAGGUAACCGUA